GAUGAACGCUGGCGGCGUGCUUAACACAUGCAAGUCGAACGAUGAAGCCCAGCUUGCUGGGUGGGUUAGUGGCGAACGGGUGAGUAACACGUGAGUAACCUGCCCUUAACUCUGGGAUAAGCCUGGGAAACUGGGUCUAAUACCGGAUAGGAGCGUCCACCGCAUGGUGGGUGUUGGAAAGAUUUAUCGGUUUUGGAUGGACUCGCGGCCUAUCAGCUUGUUGGUGAGGUAAUGGCUCACCAAGGCGACGACGGGUAGCCGGCCUGAGAGGGUGACCGGCCACACUGGGACUGAGACACAGCCCAGACUCCUACGGGAGGCAGCAGUGGGGAAUAUUGCACAAUGGGCGCAAGCCUGAUGCAGCGACGCCGCGUGAGGGAUGACGGCCUUCGGGUUGUAAACCUCUUUCAGUAGGGAAGAAGCGAAAGUGACGGUACCUGCAGAAGAAGCACCGGCUAACUACGUG
rnacentral:rRNA from 1 species